UUUUCAGUUUCUGCCUUUGUUAAAAUCAAAGUGUAGUAUCUUUUCUGACCAGCUUAAUAUCUGAUGCAGUCCUUUGUUGGGGGCCAUCAAUAUUAAACUGAUUUGUAGAACUAGGCAAAGAGUUAGGGGCUUGCUCCAUCUGCUCUGCAGGUUGGCCUGGUAUUGCAGCACCUCCAGGAUACAACUCAUGGUUC